rnacentral:rRNA from 1 species
GCUUACGGCCAUACCACCCUGAGCACGCCCGACGUCGUCUGAUCUCGGAAGCUAAGCAGGGCUGGGCUUGGUUAGUACUUGGAUGGGAGACUGCCUUGGAAUACCUGGUGCUGUAAGCC